ACAAUAUAGUAUCUAAACUAUGUAUCAGUUACCACGGAAUAAUCGAGUGACCAGUACCCAUAAUAUAUUUUAUUAUUUGUACAAAAUCGCAUUAUAUUUAUUAUUUGUACAUAACCUCAUCGCUAACAAAUUUCGACUUCGAAGUUCACACGUUUACAUUAGUGAAAUGAGGAAUUGCAAACUUAAUUAAAAAAUGUUAGUAAAUUUACAUUUUACUUUAUAGUAAAUAUGAUAGCAUGCUUAUUGUAGUUAUGUCAUAACUCGUUAUUUUAUAAUUUUUUAAAUAUAUUAAUUGAUAAUAUUUGCUCUCGACUUUAUUUUGACGUUACAUUCUUGGACACACCAUUAAUUUAAUAGGUUGAAUGCUUUUUUCCGAAAAUCUUUUAUCAUUUAAAAAUCAAUGUUAUCAUGUCAGAAAUAUCUAUGGCGUUGAGAAUAGGCUAUACCAAUUACUAUGGAAAUGUCUUUUCAAUUGGACCCAAGACUGAAGACCUUACAAUUUUAUAUUAAGGUGUAAAUUAUAAAUAUAAAGCAUUAAUUUAAUAGGUUGAAUGCUUUUUUACUGAAAAUAUUUCAUCUUUUAAAAACCAAUGUUAUCAUGUAAAAUUGGAUUUGAGUAUGACAUAUCAAUUGCUAUGGAAAUGUCUUUCCAAUCGGACCCAAGACCUUACAUUUAUAUAUCAAGGUGUAAAUUAUAAGUAUAAAACAUUUAUUUCUAAUGUGACAUUUUUUCAUGUGAAUGUAUAAUAUCAACACUAAGCAAUUUGAAUGAAAAGUGUGUUGUGUUAACUUAAAAUAAUUAUUAAUGCAUGUAUUUGUGUAUGUGGGUUGAUAAUACUCAUAUACCUGUUUCAUUUAUUUUUAAAAAUAU